CCUACGGGUGGCAGCAGUGGGGAAUAUUGCACAAUGGGCGCAAGCCUGACGCAGCGACGCCGCGUGAGUGAUGAAGGUCUUCGGAUCGUAAACCUCUUUCAGCAGGGAGGAACGGUCACUGUGCUAAUCCGCCGGGCAUUGACGUUACCUGCAGAGGAAGCACCGGCUAACUCCGUGCCAGCAGCCGCGGUAAUACGGAGGGUGCGAGCGUUAAUCGGAAUUACUGGGCGUACAGCGCUCGUAGGCGGUCUGUCAAGUCAAGGGUGAAAUCCCCGCGCUCAACGUGGGAACUGCAUUUGAAACUGGCAAGCUGGAGUGUUGGAGAGGAGAGUGGAAUUCCAGGUGUAGGAGUGAAAUCCGUAGAGAUCUGGAGGAAUACUAGUGGCGAAGGCGAC
rnacentral:rRNA from 1 species